rnacentral:rRNA from 1 species
UACGGGGGGUGCGAGCGUUGUCCGGAAUCACUGGGCGUAAAGGGCGCGUAGGUGGUUUGAUAAGGGUGUGGUGAAAGCCCGGGGCUCAACCCCGGGUCUGCCGUGCCGACUGUCAAACUCGAGGGCUGUAGAGGCAGACGGAAUUCCGGGUGUAGCGGUGGAAUGCGUAGAUAUCUGGAGGAAUACCGGUGGCGAAGGCGGCAUCCUGGACCGACAUUGACGCUGAGGAGCGAAAGCCAGGGGAGCAAACGGG